rnacentral:rRNA from 1 species
GGACCCGCACAAGUAGUGGAGCAUGUGGUUUAAUUCGAAGAUACGCGCAGAACCUUACCAACACUUGACAUGUUCGUCGCGACUUUAAGAGAUUAAAGUUUUCGGUUCGGCCGGACGAAACACAGGUGCUGCAUGGCUGUCGUCAGCUCGUGUCGUGAGAUGUUGGGUUAAGUCCCGCAACGAGCGACAACCCUCACUUUUAGUUGCCAUCAUUAAAGUUGGGCACUCUGAAAAGAACUGCCAGUGAUAAGCUGGAGGAAGGUGGGGAUGACGUCAAGUCCUCAUGGCCCUUACGUGUUGGGCUACACACGUGCUACAAAUGGUAUCUACAACAGGAAAGCAAGACUGCGAAGUU